GCUGGGUAUCGUGAUGGGUGCCUGUAAUCUCAGCUACUUGUGGGGCUGAGGCAGGAGAAUCACUUUAACCCGGGAGCUGGAGUUUGCAGUGAGCUGAGAUUGUGCCACUGCACUCCAGCCUGGGUGACAGAGUGAGAACCCGUCUCAC
ensembl:misc_RNA Metazoa_SRP Metazoan signal recognition particle RNA